rnacentral:rRNA from 1 species
GACGAACCGUGCGAACGUUAUUCGGAAUCACUGGGCUUAAAGCGUGCGCAGGCGGUUCGUUGUGUCGGCGGGGAAAGCCCCGGGCUUAACCUGGGAAUGGCCGUCGAAACUGGCGAACUGGAGUGUGGCAGAGGGGGGUGGAAUUCCGCGUGUAGCAGUGAAAUGCGUAGAGAUGCGGAGGAACACCGAUGGCGAAGGCAGCCCCCUGGGCUGACACUGACGCUCAGGCACGAAAGCGUGGGGAGCAAACAGG